GACGAACGCUGGCGGCGUGCUUAACACAUGCAAGUCGAACGCUGAAGCUCAGCUUUUGUUGGGUGGAUGAGUGGCGAACGGGUGAGUAACACGUGAGUAACCUGCCCCCUUCUUUGGGAUAACGCCCGGAAACGGGUGCUAAUACUGGAUAUUCACUGGUCUUCGCAUGGGGGUUGGUGGAAAGGGUUUUUCUGGUGGGGGAUGGGCUCGUGGCCUAUCAGCUUGUUGGUGGGGUGAUGGCCUACCAAGGCUUUGACGGGUAGCCGGCCUGAGAGGGUGACCGGUCACAUUGGGACGGAGAUACGGCCCAGACUCCUACGGGAGGCAGCAGUGGGGAAUAUUGCACAAUGGGCGCAAGCCUGAUGCAGCGACGCCGCGUGAGGGAUGGAGGCCUUCGGGUUGUGAACCUCUUUCGCUCAUGGUCAAGCCGCAACAAUGGUUGUGGUGAGGGUAGUGGGUAAAGAAGCGCCGGCUAACUACGUG
rnacentral:rRNA from 1 species